UACAGAGGGUGCAAACGUUGUUCGGAUUCAUUGGGCGUAAAGGGUGCGUAGGCGGCGCGGUAAGUCGGGUGUGAAAUCUCGGAGCUUAACUCCGAAACUGCAUUCGAUACUGCCGUGCUUGAGGACUGGAGAGGAGACUGGAAUUUACGGUGUAGCGGUGAAAUGCGUAGAUAUCGUAAGGAAGACCAGUGGCGAAGGCGGGUCUCUGGACAGUUCCUGACGCUGAGGCACGAAGGUCAGGGGAGCAAACGGG
rnacentral:rRNA from 1 species